CCUACGGGUGGCAGCAGUGGGGGAUAUUGCACAAUGGGGGGAACCCUGAUGCAGCGACGCCGCGUGGGUGAAGGAGUGCUUCGGCAUGUAAAGCCCUAUCGGCAGGGAAGAAGCAAGACGGUACCUGACUAAGAAGCCCCGGCUAACUACGUGCCAGCAGCCGCGGUAAUACGUAGGGGGCGAGCGUUAUCCGGAUUCACUGGGUGUAAAGGGAGCGUAGACGGCCAAGCAAGCCAGGGGUGAAAGCCCGGGGCCCAACCCCGGGACUGCCCUUGAAACUGCAUGGCUGGAGUGCGGGAGGGGCAGGCGGAAUGCCUGGUGUAGCGGUGAAAUGCGUAGAUAUCAGGAGGAACACCGGCGGCGAAGGCGGCCUGCUGGACCGCGACUGACGUUGAGGCCCGAAAGCGUGGGGAGCAAACAGGAUUAGAUACCCGAGUAGUC
rnacentral:rRNA from 1 species